rnacentral:rRNA from 1 species
CAAAAACAUUUCUUUUUAUAACUACGGAAGGUAGCCCCUGUUCAAUGAUAGUUUAAAUAACCGCAGUAUUUAAUUGUGCGAAGGUAGCGUAAUAAUUUUUUUUUUAAUUGGAAGGUGGGAUGAAAGGGUUAACAAGGUAUUAACUGUGUUAGUGUGGAGAUUAUAAUUUUAUAAGGAAGUGAAAAAGCUUUUUUGUAUUAAAGGGACGACAAGACCCUAUGAAACUUCAAAAUUAUUCAUGAGGAAUGAGGGAUUUUUUUAACUGGGGUGGUUGAUAAUAAUAACAUUAUUAUGGUAAACAUUUUGCAUGACUUGUUGUGUGAUCUUAUGUUGAAUAGGAGAUAAGUUACUCUAGGGAUAACAGCGUAAUUAGAUUUGAGAGCUCUUAUUGAAGGUUUUAGUUACGACCUCGAUGUUGAAUUAAACAUACUAUUCGGAGCAGAAGAUGAAUUAGUGAGUUUGUUCAACUUUUAAAUGUUUACAUGAUCUGAGUUCAGACCGG